GCGCUCGCGCGCCGCAUCGCACCCUUUGGGUGCUGGCGCUCCGCGAGGGCGCGGCACGAGCCGCGACGGCCGCCGGUUUUAGUUAGAUUUGGCGGCCUUGCGAGGCUCUGCCUCGAAGCUGGCUACCAUCUGCGCUUGGGGCUUAGGGCUUGUAGCUCAGUUGGUUAGAGCGCGCGCUUGAUAAGCGUGAGGUCGGAGGUUCAAGUCCUCCCAGGCCCACCAUUCCUCGACAACUUCGAAGAGGUAUUAUUCAGGGGCCGUAGCUCAGCUGGGAGAGCGCCUGCUUUGCAAGCAGGAUGUCGUCGGUUCGAUCCCGUCCGGCUCCACCAUCGCCGCGCAAUCCGCAGGAUUGUCGCCGCGCAAUCCGCAGGAAUGGCCCUUCCUCCGAAGAAAAAAGGGUGGCCAAGGGAUAAACUGGGGAAAAAAAAUCCUUUUUCCAGAAUUUGGCGGCAAGCUUUGGCUCCUCGGCUGGUCCGGCUGAACUCCUAAAGAAAAAAAUUGGUCCAACUUUCUACCCGGCAGGGGUGGUGAUUGGUCGCGGGAGAACGCUCAAUCUUCCCGCAUAUGAUGGGGUUUGCCUAACCGCCCCUCGAACCGAUCUCGAGAAGCUGGUCUUUUUGUGCCAAU
rnacentral:tRNA from 1 species